CCUACGGGUGGCUGCAGUGAGGAAUAUUGGUCAAUGGACGGAAGUCUGAACCAGCCAAGUAGCGUGAAGGAUGACUGCCCUAUGGGUUGUAAACUUCUUUUGUAUAAGAGUAAACCAGGGUAUGCAUACCCUCUUGUAUGUACCAUAUGAAUAAGGAUCGGCUAACUCCGUGCCAGCAGCCGCGGUAAUACGGAGGAUCCGAGCGUUAUCCGGAUUUAUUGGGUUUAAAGGGAGCGUAGGUGGAUUGUUAAGUCAGUGGUGAAAGUUUGCGGCUCAACCGUAAAAUUGCAGUUGAAACUGGUAGUCUGGAGUAUAGAAGAGGUAGGCGGAAUGUGUGGUGUAGCGGUGAAAUGCUUAGAGAUCAUGCAGAACUCCGAUUGCGAAGGCAGCUCACCGGACUGUAACUGACACUGAUGCUCGAAAGUGUGGGUAUCAAACAGGAUUAGAUACCCUUGUAGUC
rnacentral:rRNA from 1 species